rnacentral:rRNA from 1 species
ACGCUCGACACCUACGGGAGGCGGCAGUAGGGAAUCUUCCACAAUGGACGCAAGUCUGAUGGAGCAACGCCGCGUGAGUGAAGAAGGUUUUCGGAUCGUAAAGCUCUGUUGUUGGUGAAGAAGGAUAGAGGUAGUAACUGGCCUUUAUUUGACGGUAAUCAACCAGAAAGUCACGGCUAACUACGUGCCACAGCCGCGGUAAUCUGAGCGGGCUGGCAAGGC